rnacentral:lncRNA from 1 species
AUCGUAUGUAUGAAUCCAAUUUUUUAGGCUUCCAUUUCUCAGUGUGCCAUAUUCCCAAUCCUCCUGCACCAUACCAGGUAAAUAACUGCUCUUCACCCCACCCUACGCCUACGCCACCCCUACCCUAAUAUUUUACUGUGUUUUGUAUACAACAUACAUUUAUAUCUAAAUUAAUAUAACUUUUCGCCUUCUUGGAAAUGUUUCCAAUUUUCCCAUGUGGUUUCUAUCAGAUCAAGGCUAGUUUAUGAUACUUCCUAUAUUUGGUUUAGAUAAAAGUCAGAUUUUUAGUAGAUCUGUUAAUGAAAUAUAUAGUUGAAAAGUAUUGAUCUUAAAAAAUGUGUGGUUAAAAUUUAUUUUGACUUUGUCUUAAAUUUUAACUCGCUUUUUAAACUGAACUAAACAUGUGGUUAUAACAUUUCAUAGUAUCAUUUCAAGACUCUAAUAUUUGGCAUUUUCCUUUGGGUUGCAUUGAUUAACAUAGAUGUAGGUCAAGUCUAGGUAAUGUUGUCCAUAGCCUCCCUGUGUAGGUGUAGAAAAAACUGAACCAGAUGUGUUUAGGUUCAUCUGCAUAAGAUUUAGGGGACUGAACAUAGAUUAGGUUUGGUAUCAUGAUGCCUAGAGAAUCUCAUGCAAUAUGGACCAGUACCACACUACGACCCCAACCCAAUCCAACCCCUCUCAUAUUCUGUAUUAAUUGUUGGUCAGUAAAGAAUAUAAUCUGGGGUCAAAAAGGAACAUUCCCCGGGCCUGGAUAAUUCAACUUAGUCUAGUCUAGAAAGAGAAAUUAGGGGGUGGCUUCACAUUUUUUUUUAAAUAUAGAGUUAAGCGUUUAUUCCAAACUUCAAUAUCAGGGAAACAAGAAAGUAUUAGACUCUACUUACAAUAGAGAAUAGUUUAGUUUCAUUUUCUUGUUCAAUUAAUAUAUAUUAGUCUUGACUUGUGCUUAUAAAUAUUCAAACCUUUACAAAAAUACUUCCCAAACAUGUUUUCAGUGUAGUCCACAGACCAGCAUGUUAAAUAAAUAUUCAGUUUCUACUUUUAUAUUAAUUUGUAUUACCUAAAACAUUAUUCUUUUAAUAAGAUUGUCAACAUACAUAUUAGGCUACCAGGCAUUGACUUACAAGCUAAACAUGCUUAUUUGAAAGCAACAAGUGUUAAGAAGAUAUUCUCAUAUUCUCAAUAAUGUGGUAUCAACAUAUGAUGGAGUUGUAUAGAUAAAUUUAAUGUAUUGUACAAGGUAAUACAACAAGAAAAAAUAUUCUCUAUAUAUCAACAAGAUCAACAAAGGAAAAUCUUCUAUAUAUGGAGAAGAGAUAUCAUUGAUGGAUUUGAGAAUGGCAACAAAAGUAUCGGCUGGAGAACCAUCAACCAUGGUAGCGUAGGAAAGAAAAAAGAGAACCCUAGGAUCUGUGUGCCUCUUAAACCAUGUUAAGAUGAUAUUUUCAUUAUUCUCAGUAAUUCGAUAUCAACAUCCAAUGGAGUUAUAGUGUAAACUUAAUGUGUUGUACAAGGUAUGACUACAAGAGAAAAUAUUCUAUAUACUGCUAAUCUUCUCUAUAUGGCAACAAGAGCAAUAUAGUCACUCAAUAAUAAGAUUGAUUCCAAGACAUUCAAGAAUCAAUCAAUGCAUGCCUUUUAGUGGAUUUUUCAUGUUAUAUAAUUAUUAAAUGAGUAAUUGCACUCGGAAAUUAUUUGUUGAUGUCAAAAUUUGAUCAUCACUUUAACAAAAACUUCAAGGAUAUUGUUUUGAUUUUUGAUUUUUGAUUUUUGAUUUAAUUAUUGUUUGUAUUUUUUCCCCUAUUGCUCAAGAAAGAAAUCAGUUAGUAGGAAUGGCCAAUUUACAUAUGGGGUGGUAACCAUUUCUACCUGGUGAUUGAGUUAGGGCUUAACAUCAUAAUCAGUUAGUAUGUAACAUAUGAGAGAUUUUGUCUUGUUGAGUGUUACUUUGGUAUUAAAAAAAUAAUAAUAAAAAAAAUUCUGCUUCUUUGUUGAGGUCCUUGAGAGAACGGUCUUCGUUUUUAUAAGAAUGAAUGAUGAAUAAAUGUUCCAGUCUUCUCCCACAUUUGACCCUUAAUUUUAACGCUUAAUAGAAAAUUGACUCGGUGGGAGACACGUCUCGAUGGUUUUAGUCAUAUAUGGAAAGUGCAUAGUAAGAUUGCAUUACAUGGUAGCUUAAUUUGAGUCACUAAUAAAGUUGACUCGUGUUAG